rnacentral:lncRNA from 1 species
CCAUAUCUUGCUUCCGCAGCUCAUUGUGCAAAUAGCGUUGCUCAUCCACGGUGCUUUCCAUUUGAAGUUGCUACUUGGCAAUGCUGCAUACUUAUCCCUCCAUGCCUUCUCAUCCCAAUUCUUCCAAGUCUCAUCUAUGGUAAUCUUUAACGGUCGCAAGUCAAACCACCAAAAGUUGUUAAAGAUGUCUCUUGGUGCUUCGAUAUGACUGAUUAUCCAUAGGUACAACAUAGGGACGCAGCACCUCAUAGCUCCUUUUCCAUGUGUUCGGCAGUGAUUAAGAGAUAACAUGGUUU